GAUGAACGCUGGCGGCGUGCCUAAUACAUGCAAGUCGAGCGAACGGACGAGAAGCUUGCUUUUCUGAUGUUAGCGGCGGACGGGUGAGUAACACGUGGAUAACCUACCUAUAAGACUGGGAUAACUUCGGGAAACCGGAGCUAAUACCGGAUAAUAUUUUGAACCGCAUGGUUCAAAAGUGAAAGACGGUCUUGCUGUCACUUAUAGAUGGAUCCGCGCUGCAUUAGCUAGUUGGUAAGGUAACGGCUUACCAAGGCAACGAUGCAUAGCCGACCUGAGAGGGUGAUCGGCCACACUGGAACUGAGACACGGUCCAGACUCCUACGGGAGGCAGCAGUAGGGAAUCUACCGCAAUGGGCGAAAGCCUGACGGAGCAACGCCGCGUGAGUGAUGAAGGUCUUCGGAUCGUAAAACUCUGUUAUUAGGGAAGAACAUAUGUGUAAGUAACUGUGCACAUCUUGACGGUACCUAAUCAGAAAGCCACGGCUAACUACGU
rnacentral:rRNA from 1 species